rnacentral:rRNA from 1 species
UUGGGGUAUCGAUAACGAUUAGAGACCGUUGUAGUCCCAACCACAAACUUUGCUGACUGGCAAUGUGCGGCAGCCGUCUCGGCGGCGCCGUGCGGGGCCUAGGCGAAAGCAUAGUCUUCGAGUCUCGUGGAGAGUAUGCACGCAAGUGUGAAAUUUAAAGAGAUUGGCGGGCCCCCAUACAGGGACUGGGAUACGCGAUUCAAUUUGAUUCAACACGGGACAACUUACCAGGGCCGCGACGCGUGUGAGCCGCCUGGUUGCAGACCGGUGGCGAUUGCGUCUGAGGUUGUGCAUGGCCACCCUAAGCCGGUGGAGUAGUUUUUUGGUUAAGUCCGUUAAUCGGCGAGACCCGCGCCUCCAGUUCAGCUGGAGGGACCGGGCAGCGCAAGCGCCAGGUAGGUCGGUCAAAGGUAGGUCCGUGAUGCAAA